UCUCUCACUCUCCAAGUGGGAAGGUUCUUUUUGUUUCAGAAAAAAGAGGGAAGAGAGGAAAAGGAAGUACUCCAACUAUUCUUUUUUGCUUUUCUUGGUUCAGGUUUCAGGCCUCUCUCUCCCCAAGUGGCACUGCUCUCUUCUCUUCCUCUGUAACCUUUCUUCAUUUGGGUUUGAUUUGAAGUCGGAAUUUUUGUGUUAAAAUCCCACCAAAAUUCUGUCAAAUAUACAACGGACUCACUGCUGCUGAGAUUAAUUAGGGUUCUGUACUGCCAAUACCAUAUUGAGUGUUGUGGUGUGUAAAUUCUUGUAAUUUUUUGCAUAGAAAUGGAGGAAACUGGUGCUGUUCAACAAAUAAACCAGCAAGCUCAAGAACAGGAUGAUUACCCUCACCAGUGUCAUCAUCAUCAGGUGUGUAAUCAGAAAGAAGAGAGUGAAGAAUCGGCCUUAGUGCAACUGCAGUCCAGAAAGCCGAACCUAUCCUCUCUUCAAAUACCAGAAAGGUCCAUGGAAAGUACAUUGUCCAGUUUCAUGAGAAUUGAUACUCCUUCUCAUGGGCCUAGUCCUAGUUCUACCAGAGCAAGACUCCCCCCUAAACCGAAUUCAGCCAAGUUGAAGCCGUCCGUGAGAAAUCUGCUUCCGAAGGGAAGCUUUAGGGCUAAAUACCUAUCCCAGUGCGGUGAAGAGACAGUUCUUGAUACCCCAGAUGCUCCUAUGUCGAAUAAGCCUUCUACUUCUAUGUCAUUUCCUCUCAAGGCACAAAAAUCAGCCCAUUCUUUACCUGUGUCACCGGUUGCAAAUUUAGGACUCCAAUCUGCGGAGGAAAGGGAUUUGGAGGGCCAUUUUGAAAUUUCUAAGCUAGAAAUUCAGCACCACAUGAUGCGAUCAUCUUCGGUUCCAGUAAUUGUCAAAACCAGAAGCUUACGGCGAAUGAAUUCCGACGGGGGGUUGAUCCGUGUAAUUCCGGCAACACCUCAUCCUGCAACCGUUGAUGGUGCCUCACCAAAAAAUGCCUCAGACACAGAAAUUGCCAGUGAAGACGCUGGGGAAGAUAUUCCCGAGGAAGAAGCCGUUUGCCGAAUUUGUCUAGUCGAGCUUCGUGAAGGUGGUGAAACUCUAAAGAUGCAGUGCAGCUGUAGAGGAGAGCUUGCACUUGCCCACCAGGAGUGUGCUGUGAAAUGGUUUACCAUUAAAGGAAACAAGACUUGUGAUGUCUGCAAGCAGGAUGUUAAAAACCUUCCAGUAAUAUUAUUGAAAACACAAUAUCCUCAGACUUUGAGAAGACGUCCACCUGCUGCUCCGCAACAGAGGGAAGUCACUCAUUGCAGGCCCCAGGAUGUACCCAUUCUUGUCAUGGUCAGCAUGCUUGCAUAUUUUUGCUUUAUGGAGCAACUUCUGGUAUCUGAUGUAGGACCUCGUGCUCUUGCUAUCUGCUUAGUUUUCUCUUGUGUUUUAGGUCUCCUUUCUUCCAUGAUAACUUCUAUUAUGGUGAGCAAGAGUUACAUAUGGGCUUAUGCUUCAUUCCAGUUUGUAAUUGUUAUCUUGUUUGCUCAUGUAUUUUAUAACCUGCUCAAUGUAAAUUCAAUCCUCACCGUACUCCUUUCCUCCUUCACUGGUUUUGGCAUUGCAAUCACCACAAAUGCACUUAUUGUGGAGUUCUUGAGAUGGAGGGUGAGACAAAAUCCCUUGCAGCAUAUUAGUGGUGUCACUCAGCAACACCACCACCGCAGCCUGCACCAAUAUCGCCAACGGCAUCAACCACAACAGCAACAACAAUCAGUAGAAAAUCUUCCCGUGGAGCCCACAGAUGGUGCUGAACUGCUAGAAGUGAGGAUCCAGACCACAUAAUAUAGUAGAUGAUGAUUUGGUACUUCACUGUUACUUCCCUUUACUUUUUGCUUAGUGUAUGAAAACUUUUAAUGUUAGUAGAAUAAGAUCUUACAAAGUGGUUAUGUCCACAUGCCACUAGAGUGCCUUACAAGAUUUGGCUAUAUAUAACGGUCAGAAGAUAUUUGACUGUACAUUGGUGGGUUUAACCUGCAUCUAGACAAAUUAUUAGUCCGUGAAUGAGUGUCUUAUAAUUACUAAAGAGCGGAACACAACAAAUAUAUGUUACAUGAAGACUCAAACACACAAGAGUUAGUCCUCAACUCACUCUAGGAAUACUCUCUAACUUUGGACACCUCAGUUGCUCUCUAGACUUGGAGUCUCUCUUUCUUACAUGCAUACAUAAGGAGACUCUAUCCCCACAAAUUUUUGUACAUACAUCUCUAGAACAAAGGUUCUAGAAGUUUCUAGAAAGGCCCAUAAGCUUCCAUCAUGUUCUGGAACAUUCUAGUAGAACCUAGAAGGUUUUGGCAUAGUCCAAAGUAUUUCGGAAGAGUUGGAAGACUCUAGCAAAGUCUUGAAGCUUUUGGAGGAUUCUAGUCAAAUCUACAGGCUUCCAUAGUUGUCAAAGGUGAAAGGUGCACCGAUGCACAAAGUCUUGUUGAGCCCGAGUCGAGAGGUGCAAGGCGAGGCGCAUGCCUUUUUGAAGCGAGGUGCACCUAUGCGGAAUGAAAUAGGAAAAAUAGCAUACACUAAUAUUUCAAAUAAUAAACACUAAGCCAAUGAGUUUUAGAAAGCAUACCACCCAAAAGAUACAUAAAAACAUCAACAAAUGUCAAAUAAUAACCGAUUGUCGCAUAGAGAAGAACUAAAACGUCAAAAUCAACAAAAAGACAAGCAUCCAACAGUUCAAAUAAAAUCAAAGCAAGUAGUUAUCCUAAUUGGACUCAACCAUCCUAAGAUCAAGAGAGUUGAGAAAGGUCGAGAGAGUCGAGACCAAAGGUCGAGAUUGAUAGAGUUGGGAGAGGUCAAGAUCGAGAGUUAGUCCAGUCAAUUACUGUUAGUUGUGAACAGCCAAUCCCAUGUUCUGCUUGUUUGCUGCACUUUAAUAGAGAGAAACGACUGCGGUAAUAUGUUUUAACCUACAUCAAGUCGAUCCAACAGUUGUGAUCUAAAUUUAAAGAGGCGCGCAACACUGUGCCUCUGCGCCUUUUGCGAAUUGUUUGCGCCUCUUUCAAUGCGCUGCACCUCUCCUCAUGCGAAUCAGAGCACCUGCGCCUCGUGCCUAAGCGCGCCUCAAGGCACACCUUUGACAACUAUGGAUGCUUCCAGAAAUAUUUGGAAGUUUCCAAUGACAUCCGCAAGACUCCAGAAAAUUCACGAGAGAUUGUAUCGGAGGGCUACUGUGGAAACUAUUUCGACCCGGAAACCUUAUUACUUUGAUAAUCAACAAUGCGCGAGUUGACAUCAUGCUAAAAUUCUGCUCAUUACCUCUGUGCAUAUGAAUUGAGAUACGGCUAAGUGCAACACUGAGCUUGUAGACCGAGUCCUUGACUCCUAGUGAUAUGAUGAUGUUGUAAGCACAACUCAGAGAACGCCUUGAAGGCUACGAAAACUAGCUGAGCUGAAAGAAGUUAUACUACUUGUGCAAUUGAUGCUAUUGUAAUGAAACAUUCUUCCAGGUU